rnacentral:misc_RNA from 1 species
AAGUCGUAACAAGGUUUCCGUAGGUGAACCUGCGGAAGGAUCAUUAAAGAGAUAGGGUCUUCAUGGCCCGACCUCCAACCCUCUGUUGUUAUAACUACCUUUGGAUUUCGUCUUUGGGCUGGGAUCCGGUGCUCGGGUCUCCGAGCGCACUAACCCUCGGGUUUGGUGGAGCGCCCGCCAGAGUCCAACCAAACUCUUGUAUUAAACCAGUCGUCUGAGUAUAAAAUUUUUAAUUAAAUUAAAAG